GCGCGCCCUGCGCUGCCGCCGCUUUGCUUUGCUUUUGCUUUGCUCGGGAGAGAUCGGAGCGAAGCACGCGAGGAAAACGGCGUGGCCCACAGGCGGGCCUGCGCCUCGGUGCGGACACGAGCACCGGUUGCCUGCGCUGUGCAGGUCCGUGUAAAGAUUUCCGAGAGGUGGUAGAGCUCACUGUUGCCUGAAUGAGGGGUUCUGGUAGGUGCUGGCGGGGGAGAACCCUCUCUGGGAGGGGGCUUUGUGUGGUGUGAGGAGCUGCCCCUCCGUCUGGGUUGUAGGCUCAGCUCUAGAAGGCUUCGAACCUCCUGUGCUGCUAGGAGAGUAUCAGAGCUCCCUUCGCAUUCCAUGUGUCCGCACGUGAUGAAAACUAUGUUGGUAGGGACAUCUGAGAGGCUGAUGAGUACCAACAUAUCUGAGCUGGACAUGGAGCAGAGUAGGGAGGCAGGCAGGCAUAUGGAGUGGCUGAGGCACCACGUGCUCAGCGCACCUGGGCUGCUGGAUCCACCCGCUGGCUGCAGUCAGUUGGAACAGUUCAGUGGUUCUGACCUGUUCCUGUGUAAGAUGAAUCGAUUACACUCCUCUCUCUCCUGUGGCUUCAAAAUAGGCCUGCUGCUGAAUAUGAAGAGUUGAUGCUACUUCACAAGGAUUUGAAUAAUGCACUCAGAAAAGAAACAUCACCUGGCACUGGGAAAAGCUACAGGAUGAACGUGCAAAGUCUGCCCUGCAUGGAGAUGGAAGCGUGCUUGUGCCCAGCAGAGCUAAUUUACCUUUGCUGAUGUUGGUGAAGAUGCUGCCUUUAUAACUGAAGACUUUGAAAAUGUUUCUCAUCAAGAUUACUGUUGUGGAACUGUGAAGUGGUGCAGUUGGUUGUGCUACAGGCAAAAAUUUGAGAAUGGAAGAACUGCCCAAGAUUUUGUGACAGAUACUUGCUUGAGUGAAGCUGAAGGGGGGAGCAUGUGAGAAAUAACACCAACUUUGAGGAAAGGACUGCGCUGUCUGCUACCUCACUGGGUGAGGAUGCAACUUUGGAACUGUAUGAGCAAACAGAAAGGUGGAAGAUCCCAGGAUAAUGGGUUGCGCUUACAUGAACAGCAUUAAAACAAGACUUUGUGAUGUUAAUAUUGCCUCAUACACUGAUUGGAGCUAAUAAAAUCUUGUAAACUCUA